UACGGGGGGUGCGAGCGGUUGUCCGGAAUCACUGGGCGUAAAGGGCGCGGUAGGUGGCCUGAUAAGGGUGUGGUGAAAGUCCGGGGCUCAACCCCGGAAUCUGCCGUGCCGACCUGUUAGGCUAGAGUACUGUAGGGGCAGGCGGAAUUCCGGGUGUAGGCGGUGGAAUGCUGUGAGAGAGUCCGGAGGAAGACCGGUGGCGAAGGCGGCCUGCUGGGCAGUUACUGACACUGGAGGCGCGGACAGCGUGGGGAGCAAACAGGAUUAGAAACCCAUAGUGUCCG
rnacentral:rRNA from 1 species